GACGAACGCUGGCGGCGUGCUUAACACAUGCAAGUCGAGCGAGGCCCCUCCUUCGGGAGGGUGUCCUAGCGGCGAACGGGUGAGUAACACGUGGGCAACCUGCCCUCAGCUCUGGGAUAACUCCGGGAAACCGGGGCUAAUACCGGAUACGACCUCCACGGGCAUCUGCGGAGGUGGAAAGUUUUUCGGCUGAGGAUGGGCCCGCGGCCUAUCAGCUAGUUGGUGGGGUAGUGGCCCACCAAGGCGACGACGGGUAGCCGGCCUGAGAGGGCGACCGGCCACACUGGGACUGAGACACGGCCCAGACUCCUACGGGAGGCAGCAGUGGGGAAUAUUGCGCAAUGGGCGAAAGCCUGACGCAGCGACGCCGCGUGAGGGACGAAGGCCUUCGGGUUGUAAACCUCUUUCAGCAGGGACGAAGCGAAAGUGACGGUACCUGCAGAAGAAGCACCGGCCAACUACGUG
rnacentral:rRNA from 1 species